AGAAAUAUAGCUUAUUGGUAGAGCACUUAUCUAGGGUUUGCCAGGUCCUGGGUUCAAUACCCAGUAUUGCCA
rnacentral:tRNA from 1 species